UAUUACCUUGUGUGGGGGUUACCAAUCAAGGGUAUAAACUAGUGUAUAAAUGUUUCUGUUUUAACGUGUAGUCGUCUACCCAAGUGUGACAGCUGUCAAUAUUGGUUGUUUGUAUCACCAUUUGUUUCCUAAGGGUAAAAAAGGCGCAGAAGGCGUAGUGGGAGGCUCCCGCCAGAGAUCCCUAUGUGUCGGCGAGUUGUGGGGAAUGAAAACAUAGGGAGAUGCUUCGGAUGCCGGAGCCUUACUGAAUGGCAGACUGGAAGAGAAGGGGCUAACCUAACAGUAUUUCAGGUUGUGACUCGUGUAUCUGAGCAGGUCCAUCCCAUCCACCACGGAUGGAAGGAAGGUUCAAGUCAUCGCUCGGUGGAGGAGGAACUGGAGGUGAUGUUCGCAUUCCGCCUGGGACACGGUCCGUGUCUGUCUUGGAGUCAGUCCCAUCAUCCAAAGCCGCCUCUGCAUUAGCCGUCGUCGACCACUGACAGGAAGGGGUGUGUUGAUCAGAUAGCCUGUUGACGGGUGAUACGGUCCGUAUCGGAAUGGAAGGUCCAAUUGGAGAUGCUGCGAGAUGUUGCCAUGGUUCCGGAGGAUCGGCCCUGUUCGAUCCUAUAUGGAGGCUGGACCUUAGUCGGCUAAGACCGACGGUGCCCAAGUUCCCCUCGGCGAUGCGACGGCAGACGAUGCAAAAUUCCGCUGGUCGCCUUCGGGUGUAGUCGCAUCGGUCCACCGGGGGGGCCUUUCAUCAAUUUACAUUGGUUUGGGCAUUGGGCAUCGGCAGCCGACAGGGCCGAAGAAAGUUUCUGUUCGGUUUAUUCCCGGACAGGGUGAGAGGUUGUAAGUAUUGUUCCAAUCAGUUACUUUUAACGAUCAAAAAUUCAUCUGUUUUAUCUUUUUUAGGUUGAUGGUCUUGAAGCGAUGAUGUUCCCGGAGGAAGUAAUCCGGAGGAAAUAGAUGUCCUAGGGCAAUGAUGAUUCCGGAAGAGGUGAUCCGGAGGAGGUAGUCGUUGUGUUUGACAUUUUGGUUGUUGGCAGUAAGCCAACCAAUCGAUGUUGCGUGGUUCAUGUAGAGUUGAGGCAGAAAGGAUACAGGCAGUGGAUUCUUCUUCAGAAAGUGACACAACGUAUCGCUCCCGGGAGCGUCGAAAGGAAUUCCCAUUCCGCUUUCUCUAGCUUACGGUUGGGGUCGUCUCGACAUCCCCGGGGCCGUCACUGUCCCACCUAUCCAGGUUGGGGAAGA